GAGGGCCUCCAUGCACCAUGGAAACAGGUGUAAAUACCCACGAGGCUGUUCCUAUUCCUUUGCCUCUAUCUGUUUAUCCUCCCCGACAGGUGCGUGCGUGCGUGAGCAAGCCCUGGGUUGGUUUGUUGGUGCUGCAGGGAAGCCUGGCACUUCCAGGCCCGGUGCCACGAUGAUGGAUCCCUGAUGCCCCAAAGACCGACCUUGAUCGAGCUUCACUGGUGAACUGUCAGAAGACAGACAUGUAGAUGUGACAGAACCCAAGGUGGAGCUUGAAGCAGGUGUGUGUGUGUGUGUGUGUGUGUGUGUGUGUGUGUGUGUGUGUGUGUGUGUGUGUGUGUG